GAGUAAAGAUUUCGGUCGCUUUGGGAGGAGCUCGCUUACUAUCAGCUUGUUGGUAGGGUAAUGGCCUACCAAGGCUAUGACGGUUAGGGGGUGUGAGAGCAUGACCCCCAGCAUUGGCACUGAAACACUGGCCAAACACCUACGGGUGGCUGCAGUCGAGAAUCUUCCACAAUGGGGGAAACCCUGAUGGAGCGAUGCUGCGUGCGGGAUGAAGGCCUUCGGGUUGUAAACCGCUUUUGUAGGGGACGAAAUUUUUGACGGUACCCUUUCGAAUAAGAGGUUGCUAACUCUGUGCCAGCAGCAGCGGUAAUACAGAGACCUCAAGUGUUAUCCGGAUUUACUGGGCGUAAAGCGUCUGUAGGGGGUUUAUUAAGUUCCAAGUAAAAUUUCAAGGCUCAACUUUGAAUUCGCUUGGAAAACUAAUAAACUGGAGUCUAGCAGAGGUGCAUGGAACUUGUGGUGUAGGAGUGAAAUCCGUUGAUAUCACAAGGAACACCAAAGGCGAAGGCAUUGCACUGGGCUAGCACUGACCCUGAGAGACGAAAGCGUGGGGAGCAAAACGGAUUAGAUACCCGUGUAGUCCACGCCCUAAACGAUGAAUGCUAAAUGUUCGGGGAUUCGACCCCCUGGGUGUUACAGCUAACGCGUUAAGCAUUCCGCCUGGGAAGUACGGCCGCAAGGCUAAAACUCAAAGGAAUAGACGGGGAUCCGCACAAGCGGUGGAGCGUCUGGUUUAAUUCGACAGUAAGCGUGGUACCUCACCAGGGUUUGACAUCCCUUGACAGCCUUGGAAACAAGGUUUCCUUCGGGCAAGGUGACAGGUGCUGCAUGGUCGUCGUCAGUUCGUGCCGUGAGGUGUUCCGUUAAGUCGGGAAACGAACGAAACCCCUAUUGCAUGUUACAAUUUCUCAUGCAAGACUGCCCGGAUAUACUGGGAGGAAGGUGGGGAUGACGUCAGAUCUGCAUGGUCCUUAUACCCUGGGCGACACAGGCGCUACAAUGGCAGAGACAAAGGGUUGCAAAACCGCAAGGUGAAGCUAAUCCCAAAAACUUUGUCUAAGUUCGGAUUGAAGGCUGCAAUUCGCCUUCAUGAAGCUGGAAUCGCUAGUAAUCGUGAAUCAGCCACGUCACGGUGAAUAUGUUCCCGGAUCUUGUACUCACCGCCCGUCACACCAAGAGAGUUGGUAGCUCCCGA
rnacentral:rRNA from 1 species